GACGAACGCUGGCGGCGUGCUUAACACAUGCAAGUCGAGCGGUAAGGCCUUUCGGGGUCCACGAGCGGCGAACGGGUGAGUAACACGUGGGUGAUCUGCCCUGCACUUCGGGAUAAGCCUGGGAAACUGGGUCUAAUACCGGAUAUGACCUCCUAUCGCAUGGUGGGUGGUGGAAAGAUUUAUCGGUGCAGGAUGGGCCCGCGGCCUAUCAGCUUGUUGGUGGGGUAAUGGCCUACCAAGGCGACGACGGGUAGCCGACCUGAGAGGGUGACCGGCCACACUGGGACUGAGACACGGCCCAGACUCCUACGGGAGGCAGCAGUGGGGAAUAUUGCACAAUGGGCGAAAGCAUGAUGCAGCGACGCCGCGUGAGGGAUGACGGCCUUCGGGUUGUAAACCUCUUUCAGCAGGGACGAAGCGCAAGUGACGGUACCUGCAGAAGAAGCACCGGCUAACUACGUG
rnacentral:rRNA from 1 species